rnacentral:lncRNA from 1 species
CCUUUGUUUCUUUUUUAAUGUUAACAUUCUUUUUCUUUACAUAACUUUAAACAUACAAUUCACGUGUUAUUCAUCUCAAGCUAAGGGGUUAAAUUGAAGUUCACAUGAAUAUGGAUUCAAUGAGGUCAAAUUAUUCACUUGCAAGUGAAUAAUUCAUAAUCAAUGUUUUUUUAGCUUACUUUGACAAAAUUGAACCAUACUGGUUGCUAAAA